rnacentral:misc_RNA from 1 species
AAGUCGUAACAAGGUUUCCGUAGGUGAACCUGCGGAAGGAUCAUUACAAGUCGGUGUUUGGUUGGGGAGUAGGGCGUCAUGCUUUGCUCGUCACACCACACGAGGUCUCGGAUCCGAGCAAUUGGAUCCGCAUGACAUGUACGCUUGCUUUGUUUGUCAGUUUCAGUGAAAAUUACAACAUAACUUUUAACAACGGAUCUCUUGGCUCUU